AUUGAACGCUGGCGGCAGGCCUAACACAUGCAAGUCGAGCGGUAGCACAGAGAGCUUGCUCUCGGGUGACGAGCGGCGGACGGGUGAGUAAUGUCUGGGAAACUGCCUGAUGGAGGGGGAUAACUACUGGAAACGGUAGCUAAUACCGCAUAACGUCGCAAGACCAAAGUGGGGGACCUUCGGGCCUCAUGCCAUCAGAUGUGCCCAGAUGGGAUUAGCUAGUAGGUGGGGUAAUGGCUCACCUAGGCGACGAUCCCUAGCUGGUCUGAGAGGAUGACCAGCCACACUGGAACUGAGACACGGUCCAGACUCCUACGGGAGGCAGCAGUGGGGAAUAUUGCACAAUGGGCGCAAGCCUGAUGCAGCCAUGCCGCGUGUGUGAAGAAGGCCUUCGGGUUGUAAAGCACUUUCAGCGGGGAGGAAGGCGGUGAGGUUAAUAACCUCAUCGAUUGACGUUACCCGCAGAAGAAGCACCGGCUAACUCCGUGCCAGCAGCCGCGGUAAUACGGAGGGUGCAAGCGUUAAUCGGAAUUACUGGGCGUAAAGCGCACGCAGGCGGUCUGUCAAGUCGGAUGUGAAAUCCCCGGGCUCAACCUGGGAACUGCAUUCGAAACUGGCAGGCUAGAGUCUUGUAGAGGGGGGUAGAAUUCCAGGUGUAGCGGUGAAAUGCGUAGAGAUCUGGAGGAAUACCGGUGGCGAAGGCGGCCCCCUGGACAAAGACUGACGCUCAGGUGCGAAAGCGUGGGGAGCAAACAGGAUUAGAUACCCUGGUAAUCCACGCCGUAAACGAUGUCGAUUUGGAGGUUGUGCCCUUGAGGCGUGGCUUCCGGAGCUAACGCGUUAAAUCGACCGCCUGGGGAGUACGGCCGCAAGGUUAAAACUCAAAUGAAUUGACGGGGGCCCGCACAAGCGGUGGAGCAUGUGGUUUAAUUCGAUGCAACGCGAAGAACCUUACCUGGUCUUGACAUCCACAGAACUUUCCAGAGAUGGAUUGGUGCCUUCGGGAACUGUGAGACAGGUGCUGCAUGGCUGUCGUCAGCUCGUGUUGUGAAAUGUUGGGUUAAGUCCCGCAACGAGCGCAACCCUUACCCUUUGUUGCCAGCGGUCCGGCCGGGAACUCAAAGGAGACUGCCAGUGAUAAACUGGAGGAAGGUGGGGAUGACGUCAAGUCAUCAUGGCCCUUACGACCAGGGCUACACACGUGCUACAAUGGCAUAUACAAAGAGAAGCGACCUCGCGAGAGCAAGCGGACCUCAUAAAGUAUGUCGUAGUCCGGAUUGGAGUCUGCAACUCGACUCCAUGAAGUCGGAAUCGCUAGUAAUCGUAGAUCAGAAUGCUACGGUGAAUACGUUCCCGGGCCU
rnacentral:rRNA from 1 species